GGGAGACCCACUUUCCUCAUUUAACAGUUCGUAGGAGAUACAAUGUAAGUAUCACAAAUUUCUCUUUCAUUAUGGUUCUUCCUCUUAAACUACUUCACUCUCAGGCUUUUGAAGAUUAAGGGAGAGAGCAAAAACUUUUGUAAAAGUAUUUAAGGCCAUCAUUUAAAAAAAUUGUAAGUGCUUCAUCCAGGAGAGUUAGAGUAGAUGUAUUUCAGCAUAUAUCUUUUAUUAUGUAUGAAAUCUCUGCACACUGCAGUACUGUGUAUCUCCUUCCAUCUGCUUUUACCUUUUUUCCAGCUGAAUUUUCACUAUCAGAAAGUUCUCUCACUGCUAAACAAACUCCUGUUUCAUAGUUUGUAUCUAGCAUUUAUAUCUGUGGUGGUCUUCCGUUUCAUGUUCCCUCUGUAUCCUACGGGUCACUCAUUUGGCUUUGUUUUCUGGGUUUUUCCCUAGCAUACCACACAACUAUUUGGAGAGCAAGUUUUAUAAGAAUGAAUCUACUGUGCUUUGUUCUCAUGCAGCAUUUUAAAUAGUAAAAUAGAAUUUCAAAGGAUUAUCGGGUCCAGGAUAGCAGAGCUGUAUAGAAAAGCUCUUUCUUUGUAUUAAUAACAGGUAGAAAUUAUUUCAUGAUUGCCUGGUGCAGCACCUAAAGACACAUAGCAUAUUAAAAAUGUGAAUACUUGUCUGAGUAUGAAAAAUUAAAUAUAUUCUGUAAUCCUUUCAAAUGUAACACACAACCCAAGAACUUAGUUCAGCUAACUCAUCAUCGUCUGAUAACAAAACAUGAAACAUUAAAAAUUUCAGACCAAACAUUUGAAUAAUUUAUUCAUCACUAAACCACCUGUUAAUGGCUGAUUCAUGCUGUCUUUACAUAGUGUGUGCAGAACAUCUUUAAAGUUGGUGAGGUCACACGAACUUUACAACUUACCUGUAUCAAACUAGUUUUUAAAUAUAGAAACUGCUGAAAUGUAGUUACUGUAUGUAAAAAUUCAGUAAUAGCAACUGCUACAUUUAAUAUCUGCUGUGUGAACACUAAAUCUGUAGAAACUGCAUUUGAUGAAAGCAGAUUUGCAGUAAGAAAGGCUAGAAAAAGCCACCUGCAGGUGUACCUGUCUGAAACAACAACAAGGGAAGCGAGAAGAAAAGUCCCAUGUCUGUGUCCGAGCUCAGAAGCUGCUGUAAUAAAUACUUCCCUGGUGUCACCAGUGAUCUAGUACUCUCCAGAGGGGCCUCGAGGGCAGCCGCAUUUCGGAGGGAGACUGGCCAGGGGGGCCACUUUCUAACUGAAGGGGCAGUAUACAUAAUGAAGUUGACCUGUAUGGAGGUGCUUGCAUUCUUCUGGUGCGCCUUUGCUCCAUGGAACCAGUCAAAUGAGGGAACAGCACACGACUGCACAUGAGGACAGGGUCACCGUGCUGGAGGGCCGGACCUGUGUGGUUUGUGGGGUUUGAGGGUUCAGAAAAUUUCCGCAUAUGUAGUGAGAUGUUUUGGAGAUGGAAUUGAAGCCUGAGGAUGAAAUUCAUUUAUGUCGUACAUACCUUACUCCCACAGCCUGGAGGUGAUUUCAUACAGCACAGCAAUUUUACCAGCCUGCAUUUUAUUGCCAACCAUCUCGUGAAGUCAGAUGGGGAAUCCUGGACGCGUGUUUUCAUGUCAGUGCUCAGGAAGUUUCAGACUUUGGAGCUUUUUGGAUUUCACAUUUUUGGAUUAAGGAUCCUCAAACUGUGGUAGAAGUAUUAGAACAGUCAUGGCAGAAGUCAUACCCAGCAUUACUGGGGGCUUAUGACAGAUGAGAUGUACUGAACACACU
rnacentral:lncRNA from 1 species